CUGUCGCUGAUCUUCAAAGGUCGUGCACGCCCGAGUGCUUUCACACAAUCCAUCUAACCCCUUUGUGCAUCACCGCGUGGGUCCCCCUUUGCGGGAGGGCUUGCGUUUUCACAUAAAACUUGAUACAGUGUAGAAUGUCCUUUUGCGCUCACACGCAAAUCAAUACAACUUUCAACAACGGAUCUCUUGGCUCUCGCAUCGAUGAAGAACGCAGCGAAAUGCGAUACGUAAUGUGAAUUGCAGAAUUCAGUGAAUCAUCGAAUCUUUGAACGCACCUUGCGCCCCUUGGCAUUCCGAGGGGCACACCCGUUUGAGUGUCGUGAAAUAUUCAAAAACUCUUUUCUUGUUGAGAAAGGGAUUUUUGGACUUGGAGGUUUCAAUGCUUGCAUUCAUUUUUGAAAGUGAGCUCCUCUCAAAUCAAUUAGUGGGAUCCGCUUUGCUGAUCUUUAACGUGAUAAGAUGUUUCUACGUUUUGGAUUUGGCACUGUCCCUUUGGAUGCCUGCUCCUAACUGUCCUAUGGACAAUGAUGGUGCUUCGGUCACCGCCAUCUACAUUGGCGGGGGAGGCUGGACCCACAAAGCAAACCUUGACCUCAAAUCGGGUGAGACUACCCGCUGAACUUAAGCAUAUCAAUAAG
rnacentral:rRNA from 1 species